GUAAUUAUAGUUUAAUAAAAACAUUAGAUUGUGGUUCUAAAAACAAAAGUUAAACCCUUUUUAAUUACC
rnacentral:tRNA from 2 species